rnacentral:rRNA from 1 species
UGCGUAGGCGGUCGUUUAAGUAGGGUGUGAAAUCCCCCGGCUCAACCGGGGAACUGCGUUCUAAACUGGACGGCUUGAGUGAGAUAGGGGUGUGCGGAACUUCCGGUGGAGCGGUGAAAUGUGUUGAUAUCGGAAGGAACACCAGUAGCGAAAGCGGCACACUGGGUCUUAACUGACGCUGAGGCACGAAAGCUAGGGUAGCGAACG